GGCUGCGGCGGGGGAGCCUCCUGCCGCGGAGGUGGCUGCGGCGUCUGUGCGGCCGUUUCCGUUUCCGGUGCCGCGGGCCGUUGCGCUGCUGUGUCUGACCUACACUGGGGCCAAGCUGGACGUCAGCAGCAGCGUCACCCCUGGCCUGACGGGGGCGCUGCGAAAAACAAAAACAUUGUGCCUGCAGCAGCUGGUGGACGCAGUGGGGCCGACGCUGAGCGAUGCCCUGGCCCUGGGCUCACUGCUUGGGCUGCAUUCGGUCCGGGUGGCGGGGAGGCUCCUGGAGCUGUGGAGCCAAAGGCUGACUGGGGAAGAGAAGAGCCUCGUCACGGAAUACAGCCAGAAGAUGAUACCGGACCCUGCAGACCCGUUUCCAGAGAUCUACCUGAGUCCGGGGCUAGGGGACCUCACCGCCCCCCUGCUAGCCACGACACGCCCCGAUCAACUGACUUUACAUGAAGCGGGCAAAAAGACAUGGUAUUUUAACUGCGUGAAGGUCACAAACAGGACUGGACUGUGCAACAGGCUCCCCACUGUGUGGUCCAACAGACUUGGACAAAAUGGACCUGGCCCGCAGUGGAGGAUUUUAUACAAACCUCCCCUCAAAAAACGGACUGCCGACCUCCAGUGGAGAAUUUUACAUGUCUGUCCAGGCUCAUCACCACUGGAGGAGCGAAGUCCUGCGCGUCCCUGGUCCACUGGUUCGGACGUCUGACUGCCAGUUGCCCUCGGCUGCUGCUGCUGCUGCUUCUAGUGUGUCUGCUGCUAGUGGUGCGUCUGCUGCUACACUACACUGCUG
ensembl:lncRNA